rnacentral:rRNA from 1 species
UGGGGAAUAUUGCGCAAUGGGGGGAACCCUGACGCAGCCAUGCCGCGUGAAUGAAGAAGGCCUUCGGGUUGUAAAGUUCUUUCGGUAUUGAGGAAGGUUGAUGUGUUAAUAGCACAUCAAAUUGACGUUAAAUACAGAAGAAGCACCGGCUAACUCCGUGCCAGCAGCCGCGGUAAUACGGAGGGUGCGAGCGUUAAUCGGAAUAACUGGGCGUAAAGGGCACGCAGGCGGUUAUUUAAGUGAGGUGUGAAAGCCCUGGGCUUAACCUAGGAAUUGCAUUUCAGACUGGGUAACUAGAGUACUUUAGGGAGGGGUAGAAUUCCACGUGUAGCGGUGAAAUGCGUAGAGAUGUGGAGGAAUACCGAAGGCGAAGGCAGCCCCUUGGGAAUGUACUGACGCUCAUGUGCGAAAGCGUGGGGAGCAAACAGGAUUAGAUACCCUGGUAGUCCACGCUGUAAACGCUGUCGAUUUGGGGGUUGGGGUUUAACUCUGGCGCCCGUAGCUAACGUGAUAAAUCGACCGCCUGGGGGAGUACGGCCGCAAGGUUA